GAGUUACCUUAGCUGGCCUGCCCUUUCCUCAUCCCGCCCCUCCAGAAUUCUGCCAUUCUGAAGUCACUUGGACUUCUCCCUGGAGAUCUUUGACCAUACACGGUCUUCUCUUCUUCAAGCCAUGUUGAUCAAGAGUUGAUUUACAUCAAGGCAUCAGUGAAGCCUUCUAACCCACUUGCCUCUGAAGAUCUAUGUGGAUUGGUGUGUGCCUCAGUUGAAUAAAAUAGCAACCGACAGAUUGGACAUCAUUGAAAACCACGGGCGCUUCCACAGAAGGUCUGGCCAACUGGUACUGUGACUCGAAAGCGCCGAUCACUAGGGACACUGAGGAAAGGAAGAUGUCAAUCCUUGUACUGUAUGAUGAUCCCGUGCAGCUUUUUUUUAAAACUUUAAAAAUCUUUUUUUACCCAAUAAAAUUAUUUUCUUAACCACCUCAUUUGUUUCUUGCUGAAGAACUGAGUUUAGUCUGGAAGCGAGAGUUCUAACUCUUCUCUUGCUCUCCCUCUUUUUUUUCUUCUCGUUCAAAG
rnacentral:lncRNA from 1 species